CGAGUUGAUGGGAUACCUAAAUUUCCCAUGGCAAACUGCUCAGUAACACAUGAUCAACUUACCCUAUAGAGAAAAAUAACCUCGGGAAACUGAGGAUAAUAUUUCAUAGUUGAAUAGGCUUGGAAAAGUUUUUCAAUAAAAGGGAUAAAAAAAAUGGUUUUUAUCUGCUAUAGGAUAGGAUCGUGGACGAUUAUGGUUGUUGGUGAGGUAACGGCUCACCAAGCCGAUAAUCGAUAGGGGCCGUGAGAGCGGGAGCCCCGAGAUGGGUACUGAGACAACGACCCAGGCCUUACGAGGCGCAGCAGGCGCGGAACCUCCGCAAUACACGAAAGUGUGACGGGGUUACCCAAAGUGUUCAAUUCUGAACUGUGGUAGGUGAGUAAUGUUCCCUACUAGAAAGGAGAGGGCAAGGCUGGUGCCAGCCGCCGCGGUAAAACCAGCUCUUCAAGUGGUCGGGAUAAUUAUUGGGCUUAAAGUGUCCGUAGCCGGUUUAGUAAGUUCCUGGUAAAAUCGGGUAGCUUAACUAUCUGUAUGCUAGGAAUACUGCUAUACUAGAGGGCGGGAGAGGUCUGAGGUACUACAGGGGUAGGGGUGAAAUCUUAUAAUCCUUGUAGGACCACCAGUGGCGAAGGCGUCAGACUGGAACGCGCCUGACGGUGAGGGACGAAAGCCAGGGGAGCGAACCGGAUUAGAUACCCGGGUAGUCCUGGCCGUAAACGAUGCAUACUAGGUGAUGGUACGGCCAUGAGCCGUAUCA
rnacentral:rRNA from 1 species